GGCGAGAUGGCCGAGCGGUCUAAGGCGCUAGAAUCAGGAUCUAGUCCGAAAGGGCGUGGGUUCGAAUCCCACUCUCGUCA